rnacentral:lncRNA from 1 species
UUGGUUUGACACCACAGCUUAGAGGCUUAGUACGCUUCAUAUGUUUAGCAACCCCUCUUUAUUUUACAUAUUUCUUGUUAUUGUUAAUCAUUCUUCCUUUUCAAUAUGAACAAGUACUAGUAGAUUUUUACUAGUCUGUCUAGUAGAUUUUCUUUCUAAUGCCAUAUGUACGUGUGUGUUCUUUUCUUGUUUCUCAUUUGAAUUCGUAAAAAGGUGUUGUAUGAUUGUUAUAGACUAACCCUUGUUUUUGUCUUUCAAGAUUUGUUUAAAGAUUCAUCUCAAAUCUACUAGUACUUCUUCAUAUUGAAAAGGAAGAACGAUUAAGAACAAGAAGAAAUAUGUAAAAUAUAGACGGGUUGCUAAACAUAUGAAGCGUACUAAGCCUCUAAGCUGUUGUGUCAAACCAACAGUACUAAAUCGACAAAUUAAGAACUAAAACAACAACAAGAAGUAUGUAAAACACAGACGGCUGCUAAACAUAUGUCACCACUAGUGGAAACAAUGUAACUAAACAUAUUAAGUGUCACCACUAGAGGAAAAAGGGGGGAGUUCCUCUCAGACGGGCGGUUGGGGGGCGCACUUGUUUCUUCGGUAUGAUAUGACGGGCGGCUGGGGCAAGAGUUUCUCCCAAGAGUCCAAGAANNN